rnacentral:rRNA from 1 species
UACGUAGGCAGCGAGCGUUGUUCGGAGUUACUGGGCGUAAAGGGUGUGUAGGCGGUUCUUUAAGUUUGGUGUGAAAUCUCCCGGCUCAACCGGGAGGGUGCGCCGAAUACUGAGGGACUAGAGUACGGGAGAGGAAAGUGGAAUUCCUGGUGUAGCGGUGAAAUGCGUAGAUAUCAGGAGGAACACCGGUGGUGUAAACGGCUUUCUGGACCAUAACUGACGCUGAGGCACGAAAGCGUGGGUAGCAAACAGG